AGUGAACGCUGGCGGUAGGCCUAACACAUGCAAGUCGAACGGCAGCACAGUAAGAGCUUGCUCUUACGGGUGGCGAGUGGCGGACGGGUGAGGAAUACAUCGGAAUCUACUUUUUCGUGGGGGAUAACGUAGGGAAACUUACGCUAAUACCGCAUACGACCUACGGGUGAAAGCAGGGGAUCUUCGGACCUUGCGCGUUUGAAUGAGCCGAUGUCGGAUUAGCUAGUUGGCGGGGUAAAGGCCCACCAAGGCGACGAUCCGUAGCUGGUCUGAGAGGAUGAUCAGCCACACUGGAACUGAGACACGGUCCAGACUCCUACGGGAGGCAGCAGUGGGGAAUAUUGGACAAUGGGCGCAAGCCUGAUCCAGCCAUACCGCGUGGGUGAAGAAGGCCUUCAGGUUGUAAAGCCCUUUUGUUGGGAAAGAAAAGCAGCAGGUUAAUACCCCGCUGUUCUGACGGUACCCAAAGAAUAAGCACCGGCUAACUUCGUG
rnacentral:rRNA from 1 species